rnacentral:rRNA from 1 species
AUUGAACGCUGGCGGCAGGCCUAACACAUGCAAGUCGAGCGGAUGAAGGGAGCUUGCUCCUGGAUUCAGCGGCGGACGGGUGAGUAAUGCCUAGGAAUCUGCCUGGUAGUGGGGGAUAACGUCCGGAAACGGGCGCUAAUACCGCAUACGUCCUGAGGGAGAAAGUGGGGGAUCUUCGGACCUCACGCUAUCAGAUGAGCCUAGGUCGGCUUAGCUAGUUGGUGGGGUAAAGGCCUACCAAGGCGAAGAUCCGUAACUGGUCUGAGAGGAUGAUCAGUCACACUGGGACUGAGACACGGUCCAGACUCCUACGGGAGGCAGCAGUGGGGAAUAUUGGACAAUGGGCGAAAGCCUGAUCCAGCCAUGCCGCGUGUGUGAAGAAGGUCUUCGGAUUGGAAAGCACUUUAAGUUGGGAGGAAGGGCAGUAAGUUAAUACCUUGCUGUUUUGACGUUACCAACAGAAUAAGCACCGGCUAACUUCGUG